rnacentral:lncRNA from 1 species
GUUAAGGAGAUGCGAGCAAAAAGUGUGAGAGAACGGUAUUUUGCGACUACAUGAAUAAUGACAUGCUUGUAAAACACACAUUUUCAAAAUUAGAACAAUUGUUUGAUUAAUAUUGUUAUAUAUUUUUAUAUUUAUUUUGUGGCAAUGCAUUGGCAUUCAGUCCUAAUAAUUUUCUCAUCCACUUUGUCGAGUCAUUGUUCUUCAUUCUCUUUUAUUUUUCAUUUUCAAGUCUAUGUUGUUGUCCUUGUAGUAUCUGUAUCUAUCUUUUCCAUCAUGUUGUUUUGAUAACACACAUUUGUUGAUGGAGUUUGACACAAGAUGCUAGAGAUUGAGGACGUGUGUUUUUGUGUUUAAUUCUACAUGCAAAAUGAAGGGACACACUCUGUGUAUGUCUUUUUUUUUAAACAGAUCAUUUAGCACACCCUGUUCCACAUACAACUUAUGUUUCACUUAUUCUUUGUAUUUUUCAAGGGUGGGCUGGAGAAGGUUUUCCCUGGUUCUGAUUUCAAAUAGGUUAGAUGGGCUUAUCAGAUUUCAUUUGUGUGGCAGGAGGAACCAUACUUAAUGAGUGUUUGAUGCUCUAGAUGGGAUGUGUGGGACUUCAUGAGUGUUUGAUGCUCUAGAUGGGAUGCGGGGGAGGUUGCUUCAAAAUUUAUGUCGAUGUGUUUUUAGUCAAGCCAAUGUGUAGUUCAUGAUAUGUGAUGUGCAAGAAUAUCGUGUGUGUUGGGUUUUUCAUAUGUACUUUCCACUUAUGGCAUGAAUAACAUUAUGAAUGACUAUGUGUUGUAGACAGGAGUCUGGCUUUUCGUAAUAUGCCUUUUCUCUUAC